rnacentral:rRNA from 1 species
GACGAACGCUGGCGGCGUGCCUAACACAUGCAAGUCGAGCGGGAACCUCAGGAGGGGUAACCCUCCUGAGGGGAGAGCGGCGAACGGCGGAGUAACACGUGGGCAACCUGCCCCGUACACCGGGAUAACCCAGGGAAACCUGGGCUAAUACCGGAUACUCCGGCUCGAUCGGAUGGUAGCGCCGGGAAAGCUCCGACGGUCCGGGAUGGGCCAGCGGCCUAUCAGGGUGCUGGUGGGGUAACGGCCCACCAAGGCGACGACGGGUAGCUGGUCUGAGAGGACGGCCAGCCACACUGGGACGGAGACACGGCCCAGACUCCUACGGGAGGCAGCAGUGGGGGAUCUUGCGCUAAUGCGCGAAAGCGUGACGCAGCGACGCCGCGUGGGGGAUGAAGGCCCUCGGGUUGUAAACCCCUUUCGGCAGGGACGAAGCGAAAGUGACGGUACCUGCAGAAGAAGUCCCGGCUAACUACGUGCCAGCAGCCGCCGCGGUAA